GCUGGGGUGGCGGAAUGGCAGACGCGGGAGACUCAAAAUCUCCUGGGGUUUAAAUCCCCGUGCGGGUUCAAGUCCCGCCCCCGGCACAA
rnacentral:tRNA from 1 species